CUGGUUUCUAGUGGCGGACGGGUGAGUAACGCGUGGGUAACCUGCCUUAUACAGGGGGAUAACAACCAGAAAUGGUUGCUAAUACCGCAUAAGCGCACAGGACCGCAUGGUCCGGUGUGAAAAACUCCGGUGGUAUAAGAUGGACCCGCGUUGGAUUAGCUAGUUGGCGGGGUAACGGCCUACCAAGGCGACGAUCCAUAGCCGGCCUGAGAGGUGAACGGCCACAUUGGGACUGAGACACGGCCCAGACUCCUACGGGAGGCAGCAUG
rnacentral:rRNA from 1 species